AAGUCGUAACAAGGUUUCCGUAGGUGAACCUGCGGAAGGAUCAUUACUGAGUUAGGGUGCCCUCAGCGCCCGACCUCCAACCCUUUGUCUACUUGACCUUUUGUUGCUUCGGCAGGCCCGCUGGACCUCCCCUCGCGGGGAGGCCCGGCCGCCGGGGGCCCUUACCGGCUCCGGGUCCGCGCCUGUCGAUGGCCGUCAUCAAAACUCUUGUUAAAAACCAUGUCGUCUGAGUAAACAAACAAAUUAAAACAAAACUUUCAACAACGGAUCUCUUGGUUCUG
rnacentral:misc_RNA from 1 species